AAAGAAUUAGUUUAAAAUAAAAUCUUGAAUUGUCAAUUUAAAGAUAAUUUAUAAAAUUAUUCUUUA
rnacentral:tRNA from 1 species